AACGCGGGAAAUCUUACCGGGUCCGGACACACUGAGGAUUGACAGGCAAUAUUAAUACGUUUUGCUUCGGUAACAUCGUAUUAUGUUAAAUAUGCUAGUCCUUUCAUGAUUAUGUGAUAGGUGGUGCAUGGCCGUUCUUAGUUCGUGGAGUGAUCUGUCUGCUUAAUUGCGUUUCACUAAGGGCCUAUAAAUUUACGUGUGUUGCAUCGCACUUUGACCCCUUUCUUUAAUUAGAGAGCGCGUGUCUUAGUUUUCGCUUUGCUCAUACAAUUAGGUCCUGAAAGCAACGAACGUGACCGCAACCUCUUGUUGCCUUUAUACCAAACAUGUUUUGCGUCAAUUUUCGAAUUGCGCGCAUUUCAUGAAAAAAGGCUUUUUAAACUAGAGGGACCGCUGUUACUUUCUUAAACCAGAGGAAGGUUGCGGCAAUAACAGGUCUGUGAUGCCCUUAGAUGUUCCGGGCUGCACACGUGCUACAAUGAUUAUUGCAGUGAGCAUCUCAUUUUUACACACCGCAUGCGCGAGUCCAUUUAUUCACCUUCGGGUGUUUUAAAUGUGUAUCUCUGCGCGCGGUAAAGCCUGCUUCGGACUAGUAAGUGGGUAAUCUAAUUAGAAGUAAUGAUUUCCUUUUUUUUAGCACACAUAUAUACGGCGUCUAUGCCCGGGUUACYUUGUUGUAGCUUUUGUGCGUWUAGAUGUUUUUCCGUAUGUGCGAUUGUCAAUAUGGUGGGGACAGACCAUUGUUAAUUGUUGGUCUCGGUCUUAACUAGGAAUGCCUUGUACGGGUCUUUGGUUCAACAAACCACCCGGAAUACGUCCCUGCCCUUUGUACACACCGCCCGUCGCUCUUACCGAUGGACUUCUCUGUGAGUUUGAGGGACUGGGAACGCAGGAAUUUAUUUCUGCACACCUAUGGAAACUUAAACGAACAGUGUGGUCUAAAGGAAAGAGAAGUCGUAACAAGGCAUA
rnacentral:rRNA from 1 species